rnacentral:rRNA from 1 species
GACGAACGCUGGCGGCGUGCUUAACACAUGCAAGUCGAACGGUAAGGCCCUUCGGGGUACACGAGUGGCGAACGGGUGAGUAACACGUGGGUGAUCUGCCCUGCACUUCGGGAUAAGCCUGGGAAACUGGGUCUAAUACCGGAUAGGACCACUGCCUGCAUGGGUGGUGGUGGAAAGCUUUUGCGGUGUGGGAUGGGCCCGCGGCCUAUCGGGUUGUGGGUGGGGUGAUGGCCUACCAAGGCGACGACGGGUAGCCGGCCUGAGCGGGGGACCGACCAAACGGGGACUGAGAUACUGCCCAGACUCCUACGGGAGGCAGCAGUGGGGAAUAUUGCACAAUGGGCGACAGCCUGAUGCAGCGACGCCGCGUGAGGGAUGACGGCCUUCGGGUUGUAAACCUCUUUCAGUAGGGAAGAAGCGAAAGUGACGGUACCUGCAGAAAAAGCACCGGCUAACUACGUGCCAGCCGCCGCAGUAA